rnacentral:lncRNA from 1 species
UUUUCAAAAGGUUUAUAUUAUAUCUUGUAUAUGGAAUUAUAGAUUAUAGUUUAUAUUUGGGUUUAGGGUAUAGGGUUUAGGGUAUAGGGUUUAGUAUUUAGGGUGGGGCUUGAAGUUGAGGUAACAUUUAGUAUUCAUGGGUUUUUGGUAGUGUUGGAGUCAUAUACUAUUCCAGCAAUGUCCUAUUCUAGUCCGGUAAUAUGAAAUAGAACACAUACUAUUCCAGCAAUAUCCUAUUCUAGUCCGGUAAUAUGAAAUAGAACACUCGUGUUUGUGCAUUUCAAGUCAUUUGACGCACAGUAAGUAUAAUCUCAGAUCGCAUGAAUUCAUGUCAUAUAUAUUUUAUCUGAGAUGGUACCAACGAAAAUUUAAUCAUCCAUUUUAUUGCAUAUAGUGCAUAUGUAUGUGGAAAAUCAGAGUGCGACGUGGAUGAAUUAUGUGAUGUAAAAGUAAUUACCAUGGUUUCACUCCUAUCUAUAUCUACAAUUGACGACGUUAUUUACUCUCUUCAUAUUUCACCGGUUACUUGAAAAGAGUGUAACCGGAGGAAAUAAAGAUCAAAUGUUAGUAAGUUAAUUAUGUCAAAAUCAGACAUAUUCUUAAUUUCCAUUCAUAAUUUGGCUAUUCAGCAAGUUAACCCAAAUUA